rnacentral:lncRNA from 1 species
GGUCAGGGUGCUGCCUCCCUAUCCACUGGGAGUCCUUUUGCGUUUCAGAUGCUCCCAGGCUCUCCCGCAGUUUAAAGACUUAACUCAGCGGCUUUCAGGGCCUGUGGUUGAGGGACUCCGAAAGAACUGUUGCUGGUGGACCGGUUCAGGGUCUUGACUUCGCCACACAAAAGAACUUGAGAGCACGUCCAAAGUAAAGCUAAGACCUCUAGUACAGUGUUCAAUGGAACUGGUGAGAAAAGACGUCCUUGCUGUGUUCCUGAUAUGAAGAGGAAAGCAGUCCUUCUCCAUUAAAUGCUGACAACAUGAGCCUCCCGUGGUCGGAACGGGCUUGUGAAGGCGGUGCUGGGGUGCACCAGGGCAGCAGCUACAGGAAAAUCAUACUGGUAGCCUUCAAGUGGCCAUGGUGGGAGCAUUGACCCAGGGAAAUCCACAUUUCCCAACACAUGCUGGAUACCUGAGGACUCCAGAGCUACUAUCUGCUCAUAUCUGCUCAACAUUAAAAAAAAAAAAAAAACCUCACAUUGUUAAGUGAAAAGGUUUAUUGGCAGAUUUGCUUAACUCAAUUUGCAAAGAUACCUUAGACCAGGGGUCGGCAAACUACAUUCCACAGAACGAAGCUGCCCAUUACUUGUCUUUUGUUUGUUUGUUUGUUUUGUUUUGUUUUGUUUUGAGAUGAAGUCUCGCUCUUGUUGCCCGGGCUGGAGUGCAAUGGUGUGAUCUCAGCUCACUGCAACCUCAACCUCCCUGGUUCAAGCAAUUCCCCUGCCUGAGCCUCCCAAGUAGCUGGGAUUACAGGCACAUGCCACCAUGCCCAACUGAUGUUUUUGUAUUUUUAGUAGAGAUGGGGUUUCACCAUGUUGGCCAGACUGGUCUCGAACUCCUGACCUCAGGUGAUCCACUGCCUCAGCCUCCCAAAGUGCUGGGAUUACAGGCGUGAUCCUAAGUACAGUUUUAUAGGACAACCAUGCUCAUUCAUUUCCGUAUCGUCCACGGCUGCUCUACAGCAGCAGAGUUUAGUGGUCAGGACAGAACCGGCACAACCUGCACAACCUGCACAACUUUCAAAGGCUGAAUAUUUACUCUCCGGCUCUUUAGAGAAAGUUUGCAACUCCUACUUUAGACUGAUGCUUCUCCAAUGCUAACGCGCCAGUCACCAAAUCACCGGCAUCUGGUCCCAGCCUCCAACCAUAAACCACAGCUGAAUGGAAACUUGGUAGCGCUUGCCUUCAAUAGCAGAUGCUGUAAGAGGAAAGCAAGGUGACCAAGAAAACAUUGCAAAACUCUGGGCAGAAUCUGGGGCCUGAAGACUCUGAGUCAGAGGCCUCUUUUUUUGCUCUAAACACAUAUUAGCAAGAGUCCAAGAGGCAUCAAAGAUGAGUUAGCAGCAAAAUGAGGCUUUGUCCUUCAUGUAGAAAGGAUUAAAUGAUAGUUGAAAAUGCAAUAACUUUCACCCUGUGGGAUUCAGUGAUGUUCAGUGCUGUGAUUAUGUCCAACUUCAAAUCUUGCUGUCCCAACUGGGACAGCCCAAACAUAGGGAGCCACUGCACUAAGAUGUUAUGAUUUAUUAAGAUAAUAAAGCUAGCGGGAUGACAAAUGUUUCAUUUUUCCCCCAUGUGUUUCCCCCAAAGGACCGUCUGCUUUUGCAUGUGAUUUGACUAUGCGCUGAGGACCUAGCGUGGUAUAUCAGCAAAGUGGAAAAGUGACUGAAGUGACUGUUUAUCAUCUUGUACCAAGUUACACCACUUUAAGCUUUAACUCCACAGCUCUUGCAUUAUUUUAAAACCGUCUGGCAGAUCUCUAAAACUAAUGGUACAAACCACUCUGUGAUACAUUAAAAUACAUCCCACUCUGUCAUACUGCAAACAAGUAGCUGCUCCCCAGUCUUUGAAAAAGUACUUUCAAGAUAAAAUAUGUACUCAUGGGUUCUGCAGGUUUUUAAAAAGUCUUGAAUCUUCACAGAUUUACUGGGGGGGAAGGGGCGUUUCAUGUAAAAUGUGUUUUUCCUUGACAUUUAGAGGUCUUGCAAAGUGGUUUAUUAUAGAUCUUGUGGACAUCUCGCUAUUUAAUUAAAUUUCAGAAAUAUA